rnacentral:sRNA from 1 species
GGGGAGAUCCGUGUGCCCCUCCGCCGCCUCAAGCCUUCGCAGAAGAAGCAUUUUAACAUCUGCCUCGAGCGCCAGGUCCCGGUCUGUGUGGGGGCUGCAGGGGCGCCAGGGGAGGGGGCCCUGGGGAGGCCAGGCUUCCAGAACCUUCUCUUUGCCCCCUCAGCUGGCGUCCCCCUCUUCCAUGUCAGCGGCGCUGAGGGGCAUCUCCUGUUAUCUGAAGGAGUUGGAGCAGGUGGAGCAGGGGCAGGGGCUGCUGGAGGAGCGUGGCCGCAUCCUGCUGAGUCUCAGCUACAGCUCGCGGCGCCGGGGACUGCUGGUAGGCAUCUUGCGCUGCGCCCAUCUGGCUGCCAUGGACGUCAACGGUUACUCGGACCCCUACGUCAAGACGUACCUGAGGCCCGAUGUGGACAAGAAAUCCAAGCAUAAGACGUGCGUGAAGAAGAAGACUCUCAACCCAGAAUUUAACGAGGAGUUUUUCUACGAGAUAGAGCUCUCCACUCUGGCCACCAAGACCCUGGAAGUCACCGUCUGGGACUAUGACAUUGGCAAAUCCAAUGACUUCAUUGGUGAGGGAGGAGCUGGCUGCGGGUGUUGAGGGCGGGCAAGUGGCAGGGAGGUGGCCCUGACCCUGCCACCUGCUCCCCAGGUGGCGUGUCCCUGGGGCCAGGUGCCCGAGGCGAGGCUCGGAAGCACUGGAGUGACUGCCUGCAGCAGCCGGACGCAGCCCUGGAGCGCUGGCACACCCUCACCAGUGAGCUGCCCCCUGCGGCCGGGGCUCUGUCCUCAGCCUGAGUGGACAGCAGUGUCCCGGCACAGGCCCAUCGAGCCGGGUCCAGUACCCAACCUUCGCACGAGUGUGUUGCACGUUUACACAGGGUGGGCUGCCCCCACCCUGCACUACCUGUCUUAUUUUUGUGAGUCUCCGUGACCCGGGUCUGUCUGCUCAUGAGGGGCUGUGGAGUUCUAUAUUCACAUAUGCAAACCUCCUGCCUGACUCGCUAGUCCCUGCAAAUAUGCAAACCCCCCAUCAUCUGCACACCCGGGCAGUGCUCAGAGCCCGGCCCCAGGCCCCCGCGCUCCUCACUCCUGCCUCUCCACGCUGCCCCGUCCCUCUCCCCCAACAGGGAGGAGGUCGGAUUAGGGGAGGUUCAGAGGAGGAGAAUGUCUCAAAAAAAAAGGACAAAAAACAAACCCAGAGCCACUCCUUUAAUACAGAAACUUCAUUGAAAAAACAGCCCUGUACAGCUGCCCUUUUAAAGAGGUGGCCAUUGCAGGGUCUCUGCCUCCCCAGCAGGUGGCAGAUGCUCCCGGCCACUCGUUUAAAUAACUGUCCCCUG